AACUCCCCAUCCAACUACCAUCCUAUCUUGCUACAGCCUUUUGCAGCCAAGAUCCUUGAAAGAGAUUGUGAGGGAUGCAAGAUUGACAGACUUCCUCGAGUCUGCUAGACCCACUUCAGUCUGGUUUCCGUGCUAAGCACUCUGUGGAAACGGCACUGACCAAAGUAUCCAAUGAUCUACUUGCUACAAAAUCUCAUGGUCACUUUUCUAUCCUAAUACUCCUUAACCUGUCUGCAGCUUUUGACACUGUUGUUCAUCAACAGCUUCUUCUCAUCCUCCAUAAUAUCGGUCUACAAGAUAUGGCUCUCUCCUGGUGCUCCUCCUACCUCUCCCAGCACUUUUUCAGUGUUUCUUUCUCUGGCUCUGCUUCUUUUUCCCAACUCCUCUCUGUUGGUGUCCCCCAAGGCUCAGUCUUUGGUUCCCUACUGUUCUCUAUCUAUACUGCCUCCCUUGGUAAACUGAUUAGCUUCUUUGGCGUCCAAUAUCAUUUCUAUGCAAAUCUACUUGUC